AGGGCGUGUAGUGGAUGCCUUGGCACUGAAAGCCGAUGAAGGACGUGAUAUACUGCGAUAAGUUUCGGGGAGCUGUAUGUAAGUUUUGAUCCGAAAAUUUCCGAAUGGGGAAACCCACCACUUUAUGUGGUACUUUAAACUGAAUACAUAGGUUUAAAGAGACAACCUGGAGAACUGAAACAUCUAAGUAACCAGAGGAAAAGAAAUCAAUUGAGAUUCCGUUAGUAGUGGCGAGCGAACGCGGAGUAGGCCAGUAGUUUUGUUAGAAAAAUUUGAAUAGUUUGGAAAUGCUAACCAUAGAGGGUGAUAGUCCCGUAUGAGUAAUGUUUAACAAAAUUCUUGAGUAAAGCGGGACACGAGAAAUCCUGCUCGAAUAUAGGGGGACCACCCUCUAAGCCUAAAUACUCUUCAGUGACCGAUAGUGAACUAGUACCGUGAGGGAAAGGUGAAAAGAACCCCUAUUAGGGGAGUGAAAUAGAACCUGAAACUGCAUGCCUACAAUCAGUCGAAGCUCUUUUUAGAGUGACGGCGUACCUUUUGUAUAAUGGGUCAGUGACUUAAUUUAUUAAGCAAGCUUAAGCCAUCUAGGUGUAGGCGCAGCGAAAGCAAGUCUUAAUAGGGCGAUUAGUUUAAUGAAUUAGACCCGAAAACGAAUGAGCUUACCAUGAGCAGGUUGAAAGUUGGGUAACACCAACCGGAGGACCGAACCAGUUGACGUUGAAAAGUCUUUGGAUGACUUGUGGUAAGGGGUGAAAGGCCAACCAAAUUCGUAGAUAGCUGGUUUUCCGCGAAAACUAUUUAGGUAGUGCGUUGAAUAAAUAGAUGUUUAGAGGUAGAGCACUAAAUGGGCUAGGGGGAAGAGAUUCUUACCAAACCUAAUAAAACUCCGAAUGCUAGACAUUGUUCUUCAACAGACAGACUGUGGGUGCUAAGGUCCAUGGUCGAGAGGGAAAGAGCCCAGACCACCAGAUAAGGUCCCCAAAUUAUGAUUAAGUGUGAAAGGAUGUGGAAAUUCCUUAACAGCCGGGAGGUUGGCUUAGAAGCAGCCAUCCUUUAAAGAUAGCGUAACAGCUCACCGGUCUAAUAGAGUUUCUGCGCCGAAGAUGUAACGGGGCUAAAAUCAUAUACCGAAUCUGUGGGUUUAUAAAACUUUCGAGUUUUAUAAGCGGUAGCGGAACGUUCUGUAAGCCUGUGAAGGGAUACCCGUGAGGGAUCCUGGAGGUAUCAGAAGUGCGAAUGCUGACAUAAGUAACGAUAAAAGAAGUGAAAAACUUCUUCGCCGAAAAUCCAAGGGUUUCUGCGCAAGGUUAAUCCGCGCAGAGUUAGUCGGCACCUAAGGCGAGGGCGAAAGCCGUAGUCGAUGGAAAUAAGGUUAAUAUUCCUUAACCAGAUGGUAGUGACGGAUCUUGUAAGUUGUGUACUCUUAAUGGAUUGAGUAUGCCGCGAAAAGGUUCCAAGAAAUAGCUCCAUCAUUAGACCGUACCCUAAACCGACACAGGUGGAUUAAUAGAGUAUAUUUAGGCGCUUGAGAGAAUGAUGUUGAAGGAACUCGGCAAAAUGCUUCCGUAACUUCGGGAUAAGGAAGACCUGUUUUUAGGCAACUAGAGAUGGGUGGCACAAGCCAGGGAGAAGCGACUGUUUAUCAAAAACACAGGGCUCUGCUAACACGUAAGUGGAUGUAUAGGGUCUGACGCCUGCCCGGUGCUGGAAGGUUAAUGCGGUUGGUGCAAGCUAACUUCUGAAGCCCCAGUAAACGGCGGCCGUAACUAUAACGGUCCUAAGGUAGCGAAAUUCCUUGUCGGGUAAGUUCCGACCUGCAUGAAUGGCGUAACGAUUUCUCCGCUGUCUCCAACAUCAACUCAGUGAAAUUGAAUUCUCCGUGAAGAUGCGGAGUUCGCGUAGUUAGACGGAAAGACCCCGUGCACCUUUACUGCAACUUUACAUUGGUAUUAGGAAAAACAUAUUUAGCAUAGGAGGGAGACAUUGAAGCAAAGGCGUCAGCUUUUGUGGAGUCACCAGUGAAAUACCUCUUUUGUUUUUCUUGGUAUCUAACUGAUUGCCGUCAUCCGGCAUCAAGACAUUGUAUGGUGGGUAGUUUGACUGGGGCGGUCGCCUCCCAAAUAGUAACGGAGGCGUGCGAAGGUAGGCUCAGAACGGUCAGAAAUCGUUCGUAGAGUGCAAUGGCAUAAGCCUGCCUGACUGUGAGACUGACAAGUCGAGCAGAGACGAAAGUCGGUCAUAGUGAUCCGGUGGUUCUG
rnacentral:rRNA from 1 species